rnacentral:misc_RNA from 1 species
AAGUCGUAACAAGGUUUCCGUAGGUGAACCUGCGGAAGGAUCAUUACCAAUCCAAAACUGUGGGGUGUCUGUAGCGUAGUAGUACUGGCAACAGUGCUGCUGCUGUCUGCAUGAUCCACUCAACCACAAACACAUUGUGAACCAGUGACUGCUUGUGUUCCUUUGGGAAUGUGUGCAGCCUUUGGCUGAAGCUAGCGAGAUAUGGCAAUGACAAAGUCUUGUACUGCGUCUGAGCUAUAUUAUAAUGCGAACCUUUAGCCGAGGGACCUAUAAACAACCAUAUACUUUAUACUUACAGUCUUAAACAUACAAUAUACUAUAAACUAAUACAACCUUUAACAAUGGAUCUCUUGGUUCCC